rnacentral:lncRNA from 1 species
AUCAAUGACAUCAGCACUUAACCCUUCAAAAUUUCCAAUAUAACCCUUAAACUAGCAAAUAAAAAAUAAAAACAUUAACCAAAACUAGCCGACCAAACUCAAAUUAUAAUAGAAGAGAGAGAUAGACCCAUCUCCAAUCACUCGACUGUUGCCGUUCGCGGAUGCGCGCAGUGAUAGAGAAAGAGAUGGAGGGAGGGGAGAGAGAGAACCACUACCGCUCAAUACUUAACCUUCACUGUUCACCGCCGCCAGAUGCGCAAAGGAGAGACUCACCACUGUCACUCCAACUCACCCUGCUCACCACUGUCGUUCCCGCUCGCUGGUUGCUGUCCACCUCUCACCGGUCGUCGCCGCCAAUCACUAGUUCACCUAUGGUUUGAGUUUUUUCGAUUAAAAGAGUAGAUCUGGGUUUGGGAUUUGGGGCUUUGUUGAUUUUGGGUUGAAAAUUGUUAAAUUGGAGAUUGAUUUGGGACGGGGGUGUUGAUUUUCUACCUUUUAGGAGAUUGAUUUGGGGUUUUGAUUUUUAAAAUUUUAUUUUUAUAUUUUACAUUUUAAAAUUUAUCUCGAUUAAAAAAAAUUAUAAAAAAUUUAUUUUUUUAUAUUAAUUUUUGAAAAUAUUUUUAUAAUUUUAUCUAAUAAAAAUAAUAAAAUUUAGAAGAUAAAAUAUAAAAAAAGAGUGGAGAAACUCAAAUCAAAAUAUAUAUAUAUCAAAAUAAGAACGCCAAUCCCAAAUAAAAAAAAACAACUCUAAUUAAGGUGAAUCACCAGCUCUCAAAGAGAGGGGGUGGGUGAUGGUAGUGGACCAAAGAGUUAAUGGCAGUGGUAGAUAGGUGAUGGUGGUUAAUGGAGGUGGAGGCGGUGGUUUUGAGUGUGUAUUUGGGUGUUUAUCCGAGAGGUAAUAGUAUUUUGAGUAUUUAUUGGAGGGUAUUAAAGUAAUUUUAUAUUUUCUAUUUGUAUUAAAAGCAAACCUGUCAUUGUAAUUUACUCAAAAAUUCAUUCUUACUUUUGUGUUUCGUAAUUCUUUUUUUUUUAAAUAAAGUUUGCAAAAAAUUUAUUUUCUCUCAAGUCGCAAGUGCCUCUGCGGAAGGAACCCAUUUUUUUUUUAGGUAUUUACACGUUCUCAGUGCACACCUAUUAUAGAAGACUUGUUAGGCAAUGUUUUGAAACUCGGACCGGUAAUUGAAUCGAUAAAAUAGUCAGGUCACAGGUUACCGAUUCAACCGUCGGGUCAACCGUUAUUGACUCAUAAUAUCAUAAUUAUAUCACUAAUUUAUUUAUUAAUAGUAAUAAAAUAUUUUUUAUUUUUCUAAACUAUUUUUUAUAUUUAAAAUCUAAAAAUUUGAAAUUAAAACAUAAUUUUUUUCUAAAAUUGUGAACCGGCGGGUUUAUGACCGGUUCAAUCACCUGAUUAUCGGUUCAACCGUCAGAUUGACCAAAUUUGACUGAAUUUUGACCAAAACGGCUUUUGACGGGUGACCGGAUUAUUUCUCCGACCGGUCGACAGUUCGAUUGGUCGAACCGACCGAGUCAAUUCGAGUUUUAAAACAUUGUUGUUAGGUCUCCUAUAUUUUGUUUUCUCAGUACACCUUGCUAAUCACAAAAGGUCUAGCACAAAAUGACAAAAGAAAUCGAUUUUCAUACAUUUCACACUUUUUAAUAUAUUUUUAUAUAUUUUUUAAAUAUUUUUUAUAUUUUUUUAUACACUAAAUCGCCCUAAAGCAAGUUUAUAGCAUUUCCUAUCACAAAAUCAUUUUUUUCUAAUUGCUUGACUUUAAAAGCUCCAAACCCCUAACCCUAACCCAGCCACCACCCACUGGCCAUUAUUGCCUCCUCCAGCAGCUCCCUACCCCACCGUCUCCUUCCUCUUCGUCGUCGUAUCCGCCUUUCCAUCCUAUUCACAGCUCUCUCUUUCUCUUCCUCAUCCCCUUACACCAUUAUCCUCCCCCUCCCCAGAUCUGUUCAAGCCUCGAGGGUUUCAUCAGAACAGAAACAAAUGAUAGAGGCAUGGGGAAUUCCUGGGAGGGUGUAGGUUGCGAGUGACGUGUAGGUCGGAUGGUGGAGAUGGUGACUGUGGCAGAUGGUGUGUGUGUGUGUGGUUUUUUGGGAUUAGGGUUUUGAACGGAGAAGAUAAGAACGUUUUGAUGAUUUCCAUAUAAAUAACAAAUUGAGAAUAAAAUUAUUUUUCCUUUUGUUGUGGGUAUGAAUAGAAGCUCCCUUUCUCCCUCCCUGCAGGAAGCGGAAUGGACAAAUGGUGAAGAGGAAGCCAUCCUUGCAUUCGAUACC